UACGAAGGGGGCUAGCGUUGUUCGGAAUUACUGGGCGUAAAGCGCGCGCAGGCGGUUCGAUAAGUUGGGGGUGAAAUCCCCGGGCUCAACCCGGGAAUGGCCUUCAAGACUGUCGAUCUUGAGGACGAGAGAGGUGAGUGGAAUUCCCAGUGUAGAGGUGAAAUUCGUAGAUAUUGGGAAGAACACCGGUGGCGAAGGCGGCUCACUGGCUCGUUUCUGACGCUGAGGCGCGAAAGCGUGGGGAGCAAACAGG
rnacentral:rRNA from 1 species